rnacentral:rRNA from 1 species
CAAUAGCGUAUAUUAAAGUUGUUGCAGUUAAAAAGCUCGUAGUUGGAUUUCUGUUUUGGAUAUCCGGUCGGCGCUCUUUGAGCGUGUGUACUUGUGGAUGUUCGAGGCAUUUUUUGUGAGUGCUCGUUUCUGCCGUUAAGUUGGUGGUUUCGGUGGCUUGCAUCGUUUACUGUGAAAAAAUUAGAGUGUUUAAAGCAGGCGUUUGCUCAUUUGAAUACAUUAGCAUGGAAUAAUAAGAUACGGCCUUGGUGGUCUAUUUUGUUGGUUUGCACACCAGGGUAAUGAUUAAUAGGGACAGUUGGGGGUAUUCAUAUUUCAGCGUCAGAGGUGAAAUUCUUGGAUCGCUGAAAGAUGAGCUUAGGCGAAAGCAUUUACCAAGGAUGUUUUCAUUAA